rnacentral:rRNA from 1 species
GAUGAACGCUAGCGGCAGGCUUAACACAUGCAAGUCGAGGGGUAGAAGUUGCUUGCAACUUUGAGACCGGCGCACGGGUGCGUAACGCGUAUGCAACCUACCUUUUACAGAGGGAUAGCCCAGAGAAAUUUGGAUUAAUACCUCAUAGUAUAUAACCUUCGCAUGUUGGUUAUAUUAAAGUUCCAACGGUAAAAGAUGGGCAUGCGUCCUAUUAGCUAGUUGGUGUGGUAACGACACACCAAGGCGACGAUAGGUAGGGGUCCUGAGAGGGAGAUCCCCCACACUGGUACUGAGACACGGACCAGACUCCUACGGGAGGCAGCAGUGAGGAAUAUUGGACAAUGGGCGCAAGCCUGAUCCAGCCAUGCCGCGUGCAGGAAGAAGCAUCUAUGGUGUGUAAACGGCUUUUGUACAGGAAGAAACACCCCUUCGUGAAGGGACUUGACGGUACUGUAAGAAUAAGGAUCGGCUAACUCCGUGCCAGCCGCCGCGGUAAGAC